rnacentral:rRNA from 1 species
UUUGGCUCAGGNNGAACGCUGGCGGCGUGCCUAAUACAUGCAAGUCGAGCGAAUGGAUUAAGAGCUUGCUCUUAUGAAGUUAGCGGCGGACGGGUGAGUAACACGUGGGUAACCUGCCCAUAAGACUGGGAUAACUCCGGGAAACCGGGGCUAAUACCGGAUAACAUUUUGAACCGCAUGGUUCGAAAUUGAAAGGCGGCUUCGGCUGUCACUUAUGGAUGGACCCGCGUCGCAUUAGCUAGUUGGUGAGGUAACGGCUCACCAAGGCAACGAUGCGUAGCCGACCUGAGAGGGUGAUCGGCCACACUGGGACUGAGACACGGCCCAGACUCCUACGGGAGGNAAGCAGUAGGA